UACGUAGGGUGCAAGCGUUAAUCGGAAUUACUGGGCGUAAAGCGUGCGCAGGCGGCUUUGCAAGACAGAUGUGAAAUCCCCGGGCUCAACCUGGGAAUGGCGAUGGAGACUGCAAGGCUAGAGUUUGGCAGAGGGGGGUAGAAUUCCACGUGUAGCAGUGAAAUGCGUAGAGAUGUGGAGGAACACCGAUGGCGAAGGCAGCCCCCUGGGUCAAAACUGACGCUCAUGCACGAAAGCGUGGGGAGCAAACAGG
rnacentral:rRNA from 1 species